UCGUCUGAGUAGGCGGAGGCUAGGGCAGAAGAGCAGACGAGGACUGGGAAAAGAGCUGCCGGUGACAUCGACGGAUAGGGCGAUUUCUAUGUAGAUGAGGCAGCGCAGAGGCUGCUGCUUCUCCACCUGCUGCUUCGCCAUGAAGGAAUUCCCGUGCUGUGGGAGCGGAUUCAGGACCGCUGGUCGGACCUGAGAGUCCCAGUUGUGUGUCAGGGCUAGAAGGACUCGGGAGUGCGCGGGGCAAGUGACUGUGCGUGCAAAGGAAUAUACAAAACUAACAUGAGGUAAGCACUAAGGUCUGGAGCUGGCUGUGCAAGAGAUGACAAAGUCCAACACCAGGCUUGAGAGUGUCCAAUCAUCUCUUCAGGGGCAGCAUAUUUUUCUACGGUACUGAAUUUGUAAAAACGGUAACAACAGCAUCAAAAAAACAAAACAAAACAAAAAAAGGGAUCAGGGUUGCAGGCUAUGGCUCCGAAGGUUCUUCGUCAGUACUGGGAUAUCCCGGAUGGCACCGAUGGCCACCGCAAAGCCUACACCACCACCAGUAUUGCCAGCGUCGCUGGCCUGACCGCCGCUGCCUACAGAGUCAGGCUCAACCCUCCAGGCACCUUCCUUGAAGGAGUGGCUAAGGUCGGACGAUACACGUUCACUGCAGCUGCUGUCGGGGACGUGUUUGGCCUCACCUCCCGCAUCAGCGCGCAGGUCCGCGAGAAGCCCGACGACCCCCUGAACUACUUCCUCGGUGGCUGCGCCGGAGGCCUGACUCUGGGGGCACGCACACACAAUUACGGGAUCGGCGCCGUCGCCUGAGUGUACUUGGGCAUAGCGGCCUCCCUGGUCAAGAUGAGCCGGCCGGAGGGCCGGGAGAUGUUUGCAAAACCCAAGGUGUGAGCCCUGUGCCAGCCGGGACCUCCAGCCUGCAGAAUGUGUCCAGAAAUAAAUUCUGUGUCUAAAACAAACAAAUAAAAAAA